CAGCCGUAAACUAUGCGCGUUAGGUGUACUGGUGACCACGAGUCACCGGGGUGCCGAAGGGAAACCGUGAAACGUGCCGCCUGGGAAGUACGGUCGCAAGGCUGAAACUUAAGGAAUUGGCGGGAGCACCACAACGGGUGGAGCCUGCGGUUUAAUUGGACUCAACGCCGGAAAUCUCACCGGAUAGGACAGACAUAUGAUAGUCGGGCUGAAGACUCUACUUGAUGAUCUGAGAGGAGGUGCAUGGCGUCAGUGACU
rnacentral:rRNA from 1 species